rnacentral:lncRNA from 1 species
AUGGUUUGUUUUCUCACUUACAAAUGUCACAAACUUUCCUCGUCCUUCUUUUUUCUUCUUCUCCAGAAAAGCACCGAAGCGGUCAAGAUGAAGGGGCUUGCUCUGGCGAUCAUGCUGUUGAGCGUUUACUGUCUGGAAGGCGCCGUGGUGGAACAGAAGCCCGAAGGCGAAGCACCGCCCCAGGUCCCUGACAUUACGGGGGCUUUGCAAGAGUACGCCCAGGUCCUCUCUCAAUAUUUCACCAGAGAGGUGGUGCCCCAGGAGAGGUUUGAGCAGCUACGAACCCAAGCCCAGGCAUUUGCUCAGCAGACCCUGAAACCUAUAACUGACCAAAUGACCGAGACGUUCAGCCAGUUUCUAGAGUCUGUAAAGGAAUCGGUGAUGAAAGCUGCCACAUAAAAAGUCUCUUCUUUAAUGAGUCCUCCAGCCCAAGCCCUGGAAGAAAAGCUUUGACAAGCAAGCACCUUGUUAUAACACGAAGACGGGUUUCAAAUCUCUAUCAGGCUGCAAUAAAGACAAAGCAAAUUUUAUCCUGCA